rnacentral:rRNA from 1 species
UACGUAGGGUGCGAGCGUUAAUCGGAAUUACUGGGCGUAAAGUGUGCGCAGGCGGCCGCGCAAGUCGAGUGUGAAAGCCCCGAGCUUAACUUGGGAACUGCGCUCGAAACUACGUGGCUGGAGUGUGGCAGAGGAAGGUGGAAUUCCAGGUGUAGCGGUGAAAUGCGUAGAGAUCUGGAGGAACACCGAUGGCGAAGGCAGCCUUCUGGGCCAACACUGACGCUCAUGCACGAAAGCGUGGGGAGCAAAUGGG